rnacentral:rRNA from 1 species
UGGGGAAUAUUGGACAAUGGGCGCAAGCCUGAUCCAGCCAUGCCGCGUGAGUGAUGAAGGCCUUAGGGUUGUAAAGCUCUUUUGUCAGGGAAGAUAAUGACGGUACCUGAAGAAUAAGCACCGGCUAACUUCGUGCCAGCAGCCGCGGUAAUACGAAGGGUGCUAGCGUUGUUCGGAAUCACUGGGCGUAAAGCGCGCGUAGGUGGCUUGACAAGUCAGAGGUGAAAGCCUGGAGCUCAACUCCAGAAUUGCCUUUGAAACUGUCUCGCUAGAGUGUCGGAGGGGAUAGCGGAAUUGCUAAUGUAGAGGUGAAAUUCGUAGAUAUUAGCAGGAACACCGGUGGCGAAGGCGGCUAUCUGGACGACAACUGACACUGAGGCGCGAAAGCGUGGGGAUCAAA